rnacentral:ncRNA from 1 species
GUGUUGUAUGAAAGGAGAGAAGCUUAGCACUCCCCUUGACAAGCAUGGAAGAGGCUCUUGGGUCUAUACAAAACGCAUACAGUUAAGGCAUUGCUACCUACUUCAUGGCAUCUAACCAUCAUUUUUA